UAGGGAAUCUUCCGCAAUGGGCGAAAGCCUGACGGAGCAACGCCGCGUGAGUGAUGAAGGUCUUCGGAUCGUAAAACUCUGUUAUUAGGGAAGAACAAAUGUGUAAGUAACUAUGCACGUCUUGACGGUACCUAAUCAGAAAGCCACGGCUAACUACGUGCCAGCAGCCGCGGUAAUACGUAGGUGGCAAGCGUUAUCCGGAAUUAUUGGGCGUAAAGCGCGUGUAGGCGGUUUUUUAAGUCUGAUGUGAAAGCCCACGGCUCAACCGUGGAGGGUCAUUGGAAACUGGAAAACUUGAGUGCAGAAGAGGAAAGUGGAAUUCCAUGUGUAGCGGUGAAAUGCGCAGAGAUAUGGAGGAACACCAGUGGCGAAGGCGACUUUCUGGUCUGUAACUGACGCUGAUGUGCGAAAGCGUGGGGAUCAAACAGG
rnacentral:rRNA from 1 species